rnacentral:misc_RNA from 1 species
UAGGAGUUGGAGGCAAUCGAGUAUGGGCACCAAUCGACUCACGAACUGAUUGCUGCGUGUUCCUUACGAGAAAAAACGCUCAUGGAAACUCCGCCCCUCUAGCUAGUGUCGGCCGCGCAAGGCACUAGCCGGGCUUGAUUAUGUCAUCAAGCCUGCCGAUGACCCGGUCCCUAUCGUUGAUUUAAAAAAAUCAACGAUAGGUAUCGAGUCAUCAACCUGCGUGGGGCGGUGGGUUUUGUUGCUUUUGAUCUUGAUUAUGUAUUUGCUAGACGGAAUUUGUUUCUAACGCUUCGAUAGUGACUCGGCUCUAUCGCCUUGCCACCGUCUUAGUUUGCUAUGUUGGUUGAGCUCCGCUCGGCUUAGACUGAACUUCUACUGCGAUGUUACGACGAAGAGUCGUGUUUCUUUAAGGGGCUUGAUCCGAUGAUGAUGUUACAUUGUUUCGGAGUUGUAUAUAGGUCAUGCUGCUCGAGGUGUUUAGCGGCCCGUCCCGUGUAGUCAAAUACAUAAGCAAGAUCAAACGCAUUGUUUCUCCACCGUCUGGUUUCCUGAUUUCGCAUCGUUCGGUGCAUUCUGGGGCUGCUUUGGCUUUUGGUUGCUUGCUUGGCCUUUGAGCCGAAUGGGUGGCUUCUAGUUGGGUGGCUUCGGGGAUGUUUAUCGUAAAGGUGCAUGAGUGGUGUUUGGUUUGUUACGUGUGGUUGGCUGCGGCGCUUGCAACAACUUCCAUGCUUUCAUACCUCUUCAGUUGUGCGACAAGGCUUGUAUCGCCUUGAGCGUCUUGUGGGUUUACUGUGCUGAAUACCUACUCAAUGGUAUUGGUUGGAUAGAUCAAAUUUUCCUUUCGUCUAGCGUUGCGUUUGCGACGUAAGGUGAACCCUGAUGCGGUCUCUUUGAUCCACCUUGUUGAAGCACAUUCUUCGACAUUGUGGCGCAUUGAGCAUCGCUUGGUAUCUUGUAUACGGAACAUAUAGUGGGCAUGGAUCUAACGAUUCUUGUUUGCCCUCAUAUAGCGUUCUCGCUUUUAAAAACGACUUGUGCUACGUGUUGGCUUGUCCAGUCGUGGUGCUACGUCGAAGAGGA